GGAUAAGUGUCCGAGCGGUCGAAGGAGCACGCCUCGAAAGCGUGUGAGGGCACCCCCCUCCGCGAGUUCGAAUCUCGCCUUAUCCGCCU
rnacentral:tRNA from 1 species